rnacentral:rRNA from 1 species
UACGGAGGGUGCGAGCGUUGUCCGGAAUCAUUGGGCGUAAAGGGCGCGUAGGUGGCCCGGUCAGUCUUUGGUGAAAGCGCGGGGCUCAACCCUGCGUCGGCCAGGGAUACUGCCGCGGCUCGAGCACUGUAGAGGCAGGCGGAAUUCCGGGUGUAGCGGUGGAAUGCGUAGAGAUCCGGAAGAACAUCGGUGGCGAAGGCGCUCUACUGGACCACAACUGACACUCAGGGACGAAAGCUAGGGGAGCGAAUGGG